CAGAAACCUAAACAAACACGGACAACCGCCCAGAUUGUGUGCAGAAUAAUCGUAAAAUUUUAUGUGAAAACUCGAGAAAAGGAAAAACAUCAUUUCAUCCCGAAAUUUGGCAACAUUCGUCCGAGUAUGAUCGAGCAGCUAUGUGUGUGUGUGUGUGUAUGCCGACGAAAUACGACGCCGUUUCUACAACAAUCACUAAAGCCGGCUGUGAUCGUGAUCGGCACAUUCUCAACUGGACCAACACACCGGUCGUUGUGUAUCUUCAAGCAAACCAACGUUUCCAUACACCACAAAAUAGCAUGGAAAGGAAAGUAUUAUAAAAUAAUGUCAUAUUUGAAAGCAUUCUAAUCUUUCAUUGUUAUUUUUCCACUGCAAACAG